ensembl:lncRNA
GUAAACCUUUAUUUUUGCACACUGAAAUGAAUUUCACAUAAUUUUCAUGUCACAAAACUAUUCUUCUGAUUUUUAACCCCAGUCACUUAAAAAUGUAAAAACCACUCUUGGCUAAAAAAAAACAGGUGGUAGCCAGAUUUGGCCUGAAGGCCAAAGUUUGCCAGCUCCUGCCUUAGACACUGCUAGAAAGGGAAACUUACUAACUAUGAAAAAAGUGAAAUAAUUCAGAACAGGACAAAGGAUAAAGUUUAAAAAUUCACCUAAAAUCCCAAGACCCAGGGAUUUCCACACAUGGCACCCAUGUUGAGCAGGACCAUUCCUCUGGGCCUGUAAUGAAUUUAUGCCCAGAGAAUAUGUUGUGGGCAUCUUUCUGUGUUAGUAAGGCUAGAUCUCCAUCAUAAGGGUGAUAGCUCACUGUCCUCUUCCGUAGCUCGAUCAUGAUUUAUGUUAACUCGUUCUUCGCUGGUGUCUUUUAGAUUAUUUUUUAAAUUUGCUAUUACAAAGGAUACACAGCAUGAAUUCUCAUACACACUGACCACUCAGCUAGGAUCAUAAGGGAGGCAGAGGUGAGUCACACACAUAUUCGGCCCUCAGGACACUUAAAAUUCCACAAGCCACUCAGGUGACACGGGGUAGUUACCCUGCACAGACAGUGGUGGUUCUCCAAAUCAGAGCUCCAGCACUGUGGAGGUUGCGAGUGCACACGAUCCUGGUCUAAGUGAGGACACUGGCUCCUGCCUUUCUGGGGCCAGCAGCUGCCUUUUCUUGGGUUGCAGAGGCUCAUAGAGCAUCAGAUAAAGGAUCUCAGAUGUCAUCUCAGAACCGUCCACCUAGAGAUGGAAAGACAGAGAUUCAGAGAGGUUGAAGGACUUAAGAAAGGAACUCUUCCUGAACCAGAGAUCGAGCUCGAGUCUCCUGCAUUGGCAGGUAGAUUCUUUACCACUGAGCCACUGGAGAAGCCCAGCAUGCCCUGAUAUUCCCCUACUUCCUGAUCAUCAAGGUGGCAAAGUGCCUCCUCUCCAGGAUUCCUCAGAACCGAGGACUAUCAUCUGUGAUCAUGCUUACCAUACCUUAUAGUUUAUUGUAUGAUGCUUACCAGUUUCCUAUUGAGAAGCAAAGAAGCCUGGUAGGCAGAAGAGCUCCCUAUUCUAACCCUGGGUGUUAUGCCUGUGAGUGUGGUACUUCACAUGGCACAAGUGACUUUGCACAUGUAAUUAAUGUUAGUAAUCAAUGGGCCAGUACAGCGGGGCUAUCCUGUAUUGUGCAGAGAACUAUCUCUGAAUGGAAUCACAGAGAUACGUCCAAAGAAGAGUCAGAGAGACUCCAAGUGUGAGAAGGCUUUGCUGUACUGCUGCUGACUUACAAGUGGGGUACAUGUAUGCCAAGUCACUUCAGUUGUGUCUGACUCUUUGUGACCCCCAUGGACUGUAGCCUCC